rnacentral:rRNA from 1 species
GACGAACGCUGGCGGCGUGCUUAACACAUGCAAGUCGAACGGUGACCUCGAGAGCUUGCUCUUGAGUGAUCAGUGGCGAACGGGUGAGUAACACGUGAGUAACCUGCCCCAGACUCUGGAAUAACCCCGGGAAACCGGAGCUAAUACCGGAUACGAAGUGGAGCGGCAUGGCUACUACUUGGAAAGUUUUUCGGUCUGGGAUGGACUCGCGGCCUAUCAGCUAGUUGGUGAGGUAACGGCUCACCAAGGCGACGACGGGUAGCCGGCCUGAGAGGGCGACCGGCCACACUGGGACUGAGACACGGCCCAGACUCCUACGGGAGGCAGCAGUGGGGAAUAUUGCACAAUGGGCGAAAGCCUGAUGCAGCGACGCCGCGUGAGGGAUGACGGCCCUCGGGUUGUAAACCUCUUUCAGCAGGGAAGAAGCGAAAGUGACGGUACCUGCAGAAGAAGCACCGGCUAACUACGUGCCAGCCGCCGCAGUAACAC